GGACCGACACACGGUCCAUGUCUGAGCUCUGCUCUCCAUGGGCACACGACCAGAGCAAAUAGUCCAAUGUCAGCGAGCUCCAGAGGUGCCUCCCAUGAACAGAAAGGACGCUGUCAGGCCUGUCGUGAGUCCCUAGGCACUGGGCUGUGCAGGGACUGGCACAGGGCUGGGAGCUGGUAGGACCCAGGAACAGGAGCUGUGCUGACACUUCUACGAUUGGUCCUGGGCUCUGUCCCCGACACCGCCUCUCCCCGAUGCAGAGCUGAGGGUGGGGAUAGAGUAGAGAGCUCCCCUCCCCCUCAGGGUCUCUUUCUGCUGCUCCUGAUUUAAAGCUGCUCAGCCAUGCAGCCAGUGUGACAGCUGUGCUCUGAUGAUGUCCCCUGGAGAUGCACAGGCUGUGGCGUCUGAGCAGCCCUGUCAACCUGUCAACCCCAGGUGGGGAUGUGAGUUGUAACUCCUCCCUGGAGGCAGCUGAGUCGAGGUGACAGGUGCCCUCUGCCCACCAGCUCGGCCCUCUGCCUCUGCCCACCAGCUUGGCCCUCUGCCUCUGCCCAUGUGGCCCGCAGUCACAGCCCUGACCUGUCAGCUGUUGGCUGAGUUGUGCAAAGCUGCCCCACAUGGAGGGUGACAGUCACAGGAGGGAAAGGCCAAGGCAGGAGCCUGGAACUCAAAUGCAACAGAAUGAGCCCUCUCAGCAGGCUGUCACCAAGAAAAAUCCUACCAUGUGGUUAUUCAUGGAAAUGGCUUUCAGAAUCUAAAGAAACGGGAUGAAGUUAUUUGCAGAUUUAUCUUCAGUGAAAGCACUAUCAUUGGGGAGUACUUCAUUGAAGUCAGCUUGAACAACGGCAAAACAUUCAAGAGCAAUGUCAGCAUCACCAGCACCACAUGUGGCAAUCUGGAUAUCUUCCGUGACCUCUCUCACCCAAGCUGCUGCCAGGUGCCAUGGAUGUGGUGUCAGCACAGGGGCCAGUAAACCAAGCACAACUCGUGGAACAAAUACCACGGAGCAGCACCUAGCACAGAGGAAGGCCCCCUGCCCUGGGCAUCUGUGGGAAACCAGGGCCCAAGUCUGCGGUGAGCUGGUGCAGAAACUCUGAGCUGAGGAGCUAACAUUACACCCAUCUGCAACUGAGAGAACCUGCCAGGCUCCAGCAAAACCAAACAGGACAUUCUCCCCAGGAGACACCGUCCUCAUCCAGGGGAACCAGGAUUCUCAUGGAAAAUCAUUUCCUACUGAAGACGAGGUCAGAGGAAAAACUCCCAGGUAUCCCAAAGAGAGGCAGCAGAUACAAGAAACAAGGAGAUUCAAAGCCCAGAGAGUAAAGAGAAUAGAGUGAUCUAAAAGGAACAUUGAAAUAAGGGUGUAUAAAAUGUUCAAAAAAAGAUAAAGGAAUAAAACUAUAUGACAAGAACAGCUAAUUAUAACAAAUGCAGAGUUUUAAAAGGACCGAAGUUCUAAAAUGCAUUAAUGAAAAAUGAAACACAACCAGAAAGUUCAAGACAAAAAGUGGAAUAACUCCAAAGACAGAUCUGAGCAGCAUCUGCCCUGCAGCCCCACUGACCGAGAUGGAAACCAGAAACAGGAUGUUGUGUGCUGGGAGCAGAUAAGGAGUGUCUAGCAGGGCAGCUCACUCCACCAUCCUCAGCCCACUCCACCAUGCUCAGCCACCAUCCUCAGCUCACCCCACCAUCCUCAGCUCACCCCAGCAUCCUCAGCUCACUCCAACAGCCUCAGCU
rnacentral:lncRNA from 10 species